rnacentral:rRNA from 1 species
CGCGACGAGUGUUGCGUUUCGGAGAGGUCCGGCACGACCUGCCAUGGCGCCUAAGUCUCUAGUUUGGAACGCGGCUACUACCCAGGGAGGGUGAUAGGCCCGUGUGGCGGCGUCCGCGAGGACACAUUGGCAAGCGUCGGAAAGGGCCUCUCUGUAGAGUCGGGUUGCUUGAAAGUGCAGCCCAAAGCAGGUGGUAAACUCCAUCUAAGGCUAAAUAUGACCAGGAGACCGAUAGCGAACAAGUACCGUGAGGGAAAGUUGAAAAGAACUUUGAAGAGAGAGUUCAAGAGUACGUGAAACCGUUAGGAGGAAAACGGAUGGAACCUCGAAGGUCGAACAGGGGCGUUCAGGUCGUCGGGUGUUGGAUGUGGUCGGGUGUUCGUUAAUUCGCAUGCGAACCAAGCAAGAGUGCUUGGGUCGCGCUCGACUGCAUGCUGACGUCGGCGGGCGAUUUUCGCCUCUCAGUAGGGCGCCGCGACCCGUUGCUGGGGACGUCUAAGGCCCGGAUGGAAUGGUAGCCCACCUUCGAACCGACCCCUUUUAGUCCAUUCGUUUGGCGGGGGUCGGCGAGGGGGUGUGUGAAACCUCCGGUUGCUUCCUGGCUGCCCUGCGACGGUCGUAGAGACAUAGACAUGGCUGGCAGCAGCAGCGUCAUCUGCUGUUGUUGUUGGUUGGGUUUUUUGUUCUCGCGGCGUGCACAGUUCAGUGUUCCAUCCGACCCGUCUUGAAACACGGACCAAGGAGUCUAACAUGUGUGCAAGUCAGUGGGCGAACUAAACCCAAAGGCGUAAUGAAAGUGACAGAAAUGUCGUCUGUGUGCGGCCUUGUGUCGACAUGUGACCAUGAAGGGCCGAUCCCCAGCCGUAUGCCUCUCUGCCUCUUCUUUCCGGACGUUACUCCGGCAUGCCUAGGUGAGCUAUUUUCCCUGGCCACUGCCCACUGGAGUCGUCCCGUGUGUGGGGGUUUUGGCUGGAGAGCGAAGGCAUAAUAUAUCCUGUCUGCAGGGGGGGCGCAGGCCCGGGACUUGCCAGGACGCCGCUACGCUAGCAGCAGCAGCAGCAGCAUCACGCGUGCAGUCGGCAAGUACCAUGAGCAGACAUGUUAGCACCCGAAAGAUGGUGAACUAUGCCUGGCCAGGAUGAAGCCAGAGGAAACUCUGGUGGAGGUCCGCAGCGAUUCUGACGUGCAAAUCGAUCGUCCGAGCUGGGUAUAGGGGCGAAAGACUAAUCGAACCAUCUAGUAGCUGGUUCCCUCUGAAGUUUCCCUCAGGAUAGCUGGUACUCGAGGGAAGACUUUCAUCUGGUAAAGCGAAUGAUUAGAGGUCUUGGGGACGAAACGUCCUCAACCUAUUCUCAAACUUUAAAUGGGUGAGAUGCCAAGCUUGCUUGUUUUUGUUGGAUUUCAAAUGAAGCUUCGGCGAUGAAUCUAGAGUAUCUAGUGGGCCACUUUUGGUAAGCAGAACUGGCGCUGUGGGAUGAACCAAACGUCGAGUUAAGGGGCCUAAAUGAAUGCUCAUUCAGAUCCCAUCGAAAGGUGUUGGUUGCUAUAGACAGCAGGACGGUGGCCAUGGAAGUUGGAAUCCGCUAAGGAGUGUGUAACAACUCACCUGCCGAAGCAAGUAGCCCUUAAAAUGGUAUGGCGCUUAAGCAUUCUCCCGAUACUCGACCGCCGGGGCACUGGCGGCCACGCCCGACUAUGGGCGAGGUCUCGAAGCCCCGGUGAGUAAGAGGGUCGCAGUGGUGAGCGCAGAAGGGAUCCGGCGUGAGCCGGCCUGGAGCCGCCACUGGUGCAGAUCUUGGUGGUAGUAGCAAAUAUUCGAGAGAGACUGUGACCUGGAAGACCGAAGUGGGGAAGGGUUCCAUGUGAACAUCACUUGGACAUGGGUUAGUCGCUCCUAAGCUCGAGGCCAAGGCCUGAUCCCAAGGUGGUGGCGAUGGGGUAGGUCGCCAUCACCGUGCCCACGUGUACAAUAAUAACCGUACGGUGUCGUUGCGAUAGCUAUCCUGCUUAGUACGAGAGGAACGGCAGGUCCGGACCAAUGGUUUUCUACUCUCCACGGUCAAUCGGCCACCAGUGGAGAAAAAGGCUACGUCCGUGGGAUUAUGCAGCAGCUUAAUCCCGGCUGGAGAAGAAGCAACGAUAUCGUGUAUGGCUCUCGGUCUCUCUCUAUCUCCUCCAACCCCCUUCAUCGACUUAUCCAGGCCAUCAAUGUUUUGUUGAACGCAAGAUGAAUAGGUAGGUUUAAAAAAAGAUGAAGGAAAGGAGGAGGAGGAGGACGAGGACGACGAGCCGGAGGUGAAAGACGCACGGAUUGUACAAUAAUAAUAAUAAUAACCCUACUGUGUCGUUGCGAUAGCUAUCCUGCUUAGUACGAGAGGAACGGCAGGUCCGGACCAAUGGUUUUUUCUCCUCUUCGUGGUCGAUCGACCAGUGGAGAGGGGAGGCGCUACGUCCGUGGGAUUAUGCAGCUGGUGUAGCAGCAGCAGCUUAAUCCCGGCUGGAGAAGAAGCAACGAUAUCGCUGGGGGGGGGGGGUUGUGUGAUCAACAGUAGCAGCAGCAGCAGCAGCGGAACACCGAAAGCAUAUGAGACUCUGUGCCUUCGUCUUGCCUGCCUGCCUGUGAUCAGUGGCGAAAGGGAAUAUGGCACUUAUUCCUUGACCAUGUGCUCGGAUAGCCAAGCAGGCGCAGGGCUUCAUUGCUCUGCGUCUGUGGAGGAACCUGGUAACAGGAACCAGCUCGCGUCCGCCGGCGGUGGUCCGGGAAAGAGUUUUCUUUUCUGUUUUAGGCGCCGUGACCCUAGAAUCCACUCGCAGAGCGAAAGGGGGUUAGGUAUCACGGUUAGCCGUAGAGCGCCGCAGUUCUUGCGGCGUCCCGCGUGCCAUCGCCGGACCUUGAAACCGCGAGGCAGGG